UACAGAGGUCCCAAGCGUUGUUCGGAUUCACUGGGCGUAAAGGGCGCGUAGGUGGUCGCAUAAGUCUGAUGUGAAAUCUCCGAGCUCAACUCGGAAAUGGCAUUGGAAACUAUGCGACUAGAGAGUUGGAGGGGGACUGGAAUACUUGGUGUAGCAGUGAAAUGCGUAGAUAUCAAGUGGAACACCAGUGGCGAAGGCGAGUCCCUGGACAACUUCUGACACUGAGGCACGAAAGCUAGGGGAGCAAACAGG
rnacentral:rRNA from 1 species